AUUGAACGCUGGCGGCAGGCCUAACACCUGCAAGUCGAUCGAGCGGCGGACGGGUGAGUAAUGUAUGGGGACUUCCCGAUAUAUGGGGAUCACUACUGGAAACGAUGGCUAAUACCGCAUACUGUCGGAUAACCCAUAUGGGAUUAGCUAGUAGGUAAGGUAAUGGCUUACCCAGGCGACGAUCCCUAGCUGGGCUGAGAGGAGGAGCAGCCAGACGGGGAGUGAGACACGGCCAAGACUCAUACGGAGGCAGCAGUGGGGAAUAUGGCAAAAUGGGGGCAAGCCGGAUGCAGCAAGGCCGCGUGGAUGAAGAAGGCCCUAGGGUGGUAAAGUACGUUAAGUCGGGAGGCGUUACCGACAGAAGAAGCACCGGCUAACUCCGUGCCAGCAGCCGCGGUAAUAC
rnacentral:rRNA from 1 species